ensembl:antisense Gm14964 predicted gene 14964
CGGCCGCCGCGGCUCGAAGGCCGUGGGGACCCCAGGCCCCAGGGGAAAAGAAAGAGAAGAGAGAAGAGAGGGCGUCAGCGAGGGCCAGGGCGCGGGCGGCCGGCACAGAGAGAGAAACAACAGCCUCACACCCAAAUCGGUUCAAUUGGCUUUGGCGGAGACUACGCGGGCCGGGCCCGCCCGCCAGCCGGCCAGCGCCUGCGCUUUAAGCGGGCUGCGGCUCGGAUGCCCUGGGCACCCCACGCGCGGGCUCUGUGACUUUGGGUUUUGGUCUUUUUGUUUCGUCUUAAGAAACCAAACGGAACAGAAAGGAAAGGAAAUUGAAAAGAAACGGAAUUUUUUUUUUUUCUACUGGUUUAAGGCUUUAAAAACAUACAACAGCAGCAUUUAAACAAACCUAACAACAAUAUCUUUUAGGGUUUUUUUUUUUUUUUUUUUUUUUUGCUUUUGUUUUUAAAAAAGAAGAUAGCAUACCACGGAAUUCAGGCAACUUACAUCAACAA